rnacentral:rRNA from 1 species
GAUGAACGCUGGCGGCGUGCCUAAUACAUGCAAGUCGAGCGAACCACUUCGGUGGUGAGCGGCGAACGGGUGAGUAACACGUAGGUGAUCUGCCCAUCAGACGGGGACAACGAUUGGAAACGAUCGCUAAUACCGGAUAGGACGAAAGUUUAAAGGUGCUUCUGGCACCGCUGAUGGAUGAGCCUGCGGCGCAUUAGCUAGUUGGUAGGGUAAAGGCCUACCAAGGCGACGAUGCGUAGCCGACCUGAGAGGGUGAACGGCCACACUGGGACUGAGACACGGCCCAGACUCCUACGGGAGGCAGCAGUAGGGAAUCAUUGGCAAUGGGCGAAAGCCUGACCGAGCAACGCCGCGUGAAUGAUGAAGGCCUUCGGGUUGUAAAAUUCUGUUAUAAGGGAAGAACGACUUUAGUAGGAAAUGGCUAGAGUGUGACGGUACCUUAUGAGAAAGCCACGGCUAACUACGUGCCAGCAGCCGCCGUAAGAC